ACACUACUUCAUAGGUUACUACUCCCUAUAACAUUAUAAAGGCUACUCCUGUCUGCAUCCGACGACUAGGAAAAUCAUCAUAUCGCAUCAUGUUGUAUUCGAUGAAACGACAUUCCCAUUUCAUUAUUCCGAACUGGUUUGAUCCUUUGUUACAGACACUGAACAUUAUAAUUCUGGUGCUAACGAUCGAUUACACAACAAUCUAAACAUUCAUACGACUGCACAAUACUCUGUGUCGGUCAUCAGGUAUGCAUCGACUGUAACCCACGUACGCAUGCACCAUCUGGUGCGCCACCUGACGCCUCUGUUGUCUCAGCCACUCCGACGCCAACUUCCCCAAUUUCAAAUAUUGGCGGCAUAAACGAACAACGGUGUCCCUUCUAUUGUUUCACUUUACUCAUCAAUCAGCCCAGUUAUGUUACGCAGUCUAGAAUACCCGAUUGAUCAGCCCACUCGACUAAGCAGGAGGCGAACCGCAGACAUCUGGGAUGAUUAUAUCCAUGAUUUAAAUGGUUUGUCUUCGUCCUAUGAUUUGGAUCCUUCUCAAACAUCCGACCCAAAUGAAUCCCUCAAUUGGUCUCCCAACCAGUUCCCCAAUCGGCCCCUCAAUCCUGUGAAAUAUUCCUAAGUGAUCGUGUAUGUUCGUACUCCUCCUGCAAAAGAAGAAUAAAUGACUAUGAAAUACGAGUCUAUGAAAUCUUCCAAAAUCAUUCAAUAAAAUAUAAGUCCAGUUACACAUAUGAUAGAGUCCA
rnacentral:lncRNA from 1 species